CCUACGGGUGGCAGCAGUGAGGAAUAUUGGUCAAUGGGCGAGAGCCUGAACCAGCCAAGUCGCGUGAGGGAGUACUGCCCUAUGGGUUGUAAACCUCUUUUGUCGGGGAGCAAAAGCCGGACGUGUCCGGCUGUGAUAGUACCCGAAGAAAAAGCAUCGGCCAACUUCGUGCCAGCGGCCGCGGUAAUACGGGGGAUGCGAGCGUUAUCCGGUUUUAUUGGGUUUAAAGGGGGCGCAGGCGGAUUUUUAAGUCAGCGGGAAAAUCGUGGGGCUCAACCCCAUCCAGCAGUUGAAACUGGGGAUCUAGAGUGUGCGAGAGGUAUGCGGAAUGCGUGGUGUAGCGGUGAAAUGCAUAGAUAUCACGCAGAACCCCGAUUGCGAAGGCAGCAUACCGGUGCACAACUGACGCUCAGGCACGAAAGCGUGGGUAUCGAACAGGAUUAGAUACCCCUGUAGUC
rnacentral:rRNA from 1 species